rnacentral:rRNA from 1 species
CUAAGAAUAUUCCGCAAUGGACGAAAGUCUGACGGAGCGACGCCGCGUGGAUGAAGAAGGCCGCAAGGUUGUAAAAUCCUUUUGCUGGGGAAGAAUAAGCGCAGGAGGGAAUGCCUGCGUGAUGACAUGAACCGGCGAAUAAGCCCCGGCCAACUACGUGCCAGCAGCCGCGGUAACACGUAGGGGGCAAGCGUUGUUCGGAAUUACUGGGCGUAAAGGGCAUGUAGGCGGUUCAAUAAGUUGGAUGUGAAAGCUCCCGGCUAAACUGGGAGAGGACGUUCAAGACUGUUGGGCUAGAGGAUGAGAGAGGGAAGUGGAAUUCCGAGUGUAGUGGUGAAAUGCGUAGAUAUUCGGAGGAACACCAGUGGCGAAAGCGGCUUCCUGGCUCAUAACUGACGCUCAGACGCGAAAGCUAGGGUAGCAAACG